AAUAAUAUGAUACUAGUUUAAUCGCAAAAUGAUUACUUGUUUCAAUUUUUAUACAUGUAAAAAUAAGAAAAAUACGUAAUAAUUUUAACGACGUAGAAGAAAAAAUUUCAUUGAAGGUUAUUCAUAUAAUGUGAAAGAAAUGGAAAUAAAUCAUCCCAUACAAUCAUCCAAUACAGGCAAUACAGAAACAUAAUCAAGCAAAUCUAUCUCAAAUCGUUUCUCUUUUUUUUUUGCACUGGUCAUAUCUAAUGCUUAUACUAAUGUUUCAAAUGAUGUUUGAUUUUUCGAAAUAUUCGAAAAAUUCGAAAAAUGAAAAAAUAAAAGUAAGGAAGUGUUUCAAUUUUUGAAGGUUGGCAAGAUCCAAGUGAUAAUCCAGUACUUCAGCAAGGCGUAACAAGUGUCUGUGUGACGUCACGCGGCUUUCUGGAGGCGGAGCCUGUGAUUGGGGGAGCAAGUGGGGGUGGGCUCUCCCGUAUCGUGGAUCGUUUGCCCCACCCUCGGGAUUUUGUUCCUUCGUACCACCGCUACUUUCAACCUCCUCCUUUUCUCUCCCUCGAUCUCUUUUCCUCUCUUUUGAAGUUUGUUCGGUGACCCCCCACCAACCUGUACUCCACCAGGUAGGAAGCUGUUACCUGUGAUAGCCAUUGCAAAAUGCAAUCCAGAUGGAACUUAUAGAACUGUAUAUUUGAUAUAUUUUUCUGUAAACUGGCGCCAGACUGCUAAUAAAGUUAGAAGAAAUCCAGAAUUCUUUAAGAAAUUCCUCAACAAAUCUCAAUUCCUCGAGAAGCCAUUCAUCAUUUGAAAUUAUUGAGAAAAUCGUCAAUAUCCGACAAAAUGCAUGUUACAAAUCGAUGUUCCUUGUAUUUGUACCUUCGUUGGAAAGAUAAGAAUUUGAUAGCAAAUAGUUCAAAUGGUAAGGAUUUUCUGAGAAUAUGUAAUACAUGAAAAAACAGUAUAAGGUGCUUUAAAGGUCUCCACCGACAUGUUCCCGCAACGCUACCGUUUAUUGCACUGUGGUCUGCUAAAGUGCAAUCGAGGAAGCAAAAUGCGGUUUCACUCGUUCGUGCGGAGCUCGCAAGAAUGUAAUUAACCUCUCGGAAGUGGCACGGUGCUUUGACCCGUGGCCGAUUUUACCUGCGUUUUCUUAUCUCUCUGUCUUUAAAAGCGAGAAGCGCGGUCGAGGGACACCUCGUCGAUCGGUUUUGUCGGUUCACACCGAUCUACCGCAAAAAUCGGGCUGCGUGUCGUGUCGUGAAACCGCAAUUACUUACGCGAAAGACACCGGUCAGAUCUAUCGCAGUUGUCACGUGUGUUGCAUAUAAUUACGAUAUAAUUUCGAUUGUUUCUCGUAUUUGACUGUUUUAAUUUUCAAGCGUCUCUUCAAUUUAAUUGAUUUGUUUCUUAUAUAAUAGAAAAUUCUAUUUACAUAAUCGUGUAAUAUAGAUAUAAGGGGCAUAUUUUAUUAGCAAUCGCAUCGAUUUGUUUAAGAGAGUAGAAUUUUAUUAAUUAAAAUGCGACAUUUUCCGAGUAUUAUAAGAUUAACAAAUCUUGAAACGAGGUGAGCGAGAUAACAGAUUAACGAUAGAAGGAAAAACAGAAACAUUUUUUUUUACGCUUUUUAUCAGGAUGACGAUAUCGCUCGGAAACGAGUGACUUCCAGCGCCACCGGAAGGGCUUCGUAAGACAUGCUUAUCGAUAGUUUCAUUCUCAGAAAAAGUGUCUCGUUAUAGAAAGGACUUUCCUUUAAUAGCAUCCUGUUUUUGGUAAUCGACAAUAACGCGAUACGUUCAACCUCGUUAAUCAUCUUUAGUUUAGAGAUCUGUUCCUUUAAGCCUGAAAUUAUAUUCAGAAGUAUUUUGUAAAAAGUAUUUAUAUAAUUAUGAAAAUAUUAAAAUAUUUUUUUUCAAAUUCAUAAGUAUCUUGAUAACUAAUGUUAAAUUUUAAUUUAAAAUUUUUGAAAAUAUUGGAUGAAACUUUAUCAAUGUUUUGCGAGGAUCUUUUUAUUGUAAGGGUCAGAGUGAAAUUUUAUUUCAAAGUAGGGACCGUAUAAUCAGAUGUAAGUUAAUCUGCCUUUUGCGCAAAAGCCGAGAUAAUGAACUAUAAAUAAGGGAGAAAUACUUAAGUGGACAGCCGCACUUACUGACCCUUCGUAAUUAAAAUCCCGUCCUAAAUCAGGACUAGGGACACGAUUAGACGAUUUCUCUUCCUCUGUUCUGUAAAAUCCAAAUCUGGGAUCCUUAGCUCUUUCAAUCCUUCGUUCUUAUAUUCGCGUAUCGUUCAAUAUCAAACAAUAUGUAUUUUAUAUAUAUUUUAUUUUUAGUUAGAAAUGUGUAUUAUCGCAAUCAUUCGAAUUCCUCAAUUGAAACCUCAAUUGAAAGAAAUAAUUAAAACUUUAAUAGUUUAUCGUUCUUGCAAAUCCAUAGAAACGCUUUUGAUAAUACAUAAAGUUUAAAAUUGUUUUUUGAUUCGCGACGAUAAUUGUUUCAUGAUACUAGUAUUUCCAUUAGAUGAAACAAGCAAAAGUGGUGGACUUUCGUGACUAUGCGAAACAAUCUAUGCCGUUUCCGUCGAUGCAAUUUCGCUUCCGUUAAUCCAAUUGCAAAGCGUGCAGCUAAUAAUACUCGCUGGGGUGGCCACGCGAUUAUAGAAAGGGGAUGCAGUCAAGGAAUAUAACAAGCAUAUGAAAAAGGGUCGAUUUAGGAGGCAAAUGACUGUACGAUUAUCAUUAUUAUAAUAUUUUUAAUUUGGCAAACAGCUGUUCUUUUUUAUAUCAGUUAUCAUAAUGUAUGUGUGUAAGUUUUAUACAUAUAUAUACAUUGUGGUUUGAAUAAAAUUCGAAGAAAAAUAUGAGAAAAACAAAGUAUAUAAAUAUCGUAAUAGUAUUGCAAUUUUUAAAUUAUUUGUAUAAUUUUAAAUUUCGUUGUGAUCGUUUACAUUCCCUUUAAUACGUAUAAUUAGUUUAAAUCCGUGAUUUAAUAGGUCGAAAUAAGGUAGAAAUUAACUAUAAAGGACAGGAAAUAACGCAAAGGGAAGUGAUAAUUAUAGGUAUGACAAGCCGAAAUCUCGACUUCUGCUAUAUGAAACGAAUGAAGGUACAACACAUACAUGUACUAUUAUCUUCCACCCUUCCACCCCUUUUAGCUGCCCAUACUUUCCACGACCACCGACGUAGAUAUGUACGUCCACCCUUGUAUAGUCCGUUAAUAAGCUUAAUAAACCCCCUGUGCGACUACCUCUCUCUAGUGUCCACAGUAUUCUAGAUUCCGAGGAUACAGGGAUGGCUCUUGAUUCUCGGUCUUCGAUAAAUUAUAUUUGGUAUUUCGACCAUCCGUUCUAUCUAAUAUCCUUAGAGAAAGUAUGUUUGAAAUAGUUUUUAAACAUCUUUGAAUCCAGUUUUCUUCUAAAUUUUCAAGUAUAUUUCGCAUAAGAUAUAUAAAAACUUAUUGAUUUUUUAUUUAUACGUACUUUUACUUUAUUUUUCAUAAAAUUAGAAUGUAUUUUUGCAUCUUCAAAUAUCAAAAGAAAAAUAAAUCAAAUGAUUUAAUAAAAAUAGAGUAAUAAGUACAUUAGAUUGAAGUAUAAUAAUUUGAUUAUAGAGGACAAUAAAUUAUGGAACUAUACCAUAGAAAUUUAUCGUUUCUACCUCCCUGCACUUACUAAAUGUGGAGUGAAAGCCCGAUGUGGUCCAGCUUUGAGGAGGACAUCAAAAGGAUAACAAUACAGAUGUGAGACAUACCCUUCCUAUUCUGUUCUCAUACGCUUUAUGUUGGGGAAAACGAGCUUAAAAGCACCAGCUUUACCACUCGUUCCAACGGGAAAGCGUAAAUUAAGAACAUCCGAACAGAACAUUAAAUGAAUUUGGUCUAAUUUGGAAAUGGAUCGUAUACGUAUUAAGUACAAUCAGUAACUAGAUUCCAACUCCAUAACAGGAUUUCGUUAUGCAUAAAAAAAAAGUUAAUAAUAUAUGAAAUAUAUUUUUUUUAUUAUCU